rnacentral:rRNA from 1 species
UACGUAGGGGGCGAGCGUUGUCCGGAUUCAUUGGGCGUAAAGAGCUCGUAGGCGGCUUGGCAAGUCGGGUGUGAAAACUCCAGGCUCAACCUGGAGACGCCACCCGAUACUGCCAUGGCUUGAGUCCGGUAGGGGACCACGGAAUUCCUGGUGUAGCGGUGAAAUGCGCAGAUAUCAGGAGGAACACCCGUAGCGAAGGCGGCACUCUGGGCCGAUACUGACACUGAGGAGCGAAAGCGUGGGGAGCGAACAGG